CAAAACUUACGGCAGCUCUCUCGCCGGUUUACGAGUAAUUUUCCUAUUUUUAGCCUUAAUUCUCAAUUAAUACUACUUCAGUACUUUUUCUUAAUUGAUACUUCAAUAGUUUGCAAUUAAUCAAUUCUAGAUCAUUCGAUUAAUUGUUUUCUUCAAUCUAUUUUGCUUUUAAUGUAGGCAUUAGGCUAUGAUAUUGAUGCUGAUGAUUAUCAUAGGUGAGAUAUGUUCAGAAAAACUGCAUAGUUUGACUCCCUAAUUCCUCAAUUUUGAAUGAUUUUGUUUUUGAAAAAAGCGAUUAUUUUUUCUGAAAUUUUUCUUUUGUUCCUCCUGAACAGCUAUGUGCACGGAAGAUUGCCGUAUGAAUUGAUUAAACCGGAUGCUCAAUUAAGAAGCAUCUUGUGUAGUAUUAAUCAAAGGAGAAUUGUAAGUUAUAGAAAUGGAUUCAAAUUGCGACCUAUUGAUGAGGGAUGAUGAUUGAUUAGUAAUAUGUUAUGAAGGACUUUGUGAUUGAUGUGCAGAUUUUCACGAAUUC
rnacentral:lncRNA from 1 species